GACGAACGCUGGCGGCGUGCCUAACACAUGCAAGUCGAACGGAGAUUUUAUUUAUGAAAUCUUAGUGGCGAACGGGUGAGUAACGCGUAGACAACCUGCCUUUUAGAUGGGGACAACACCGCGAAAGUGGUGCUAAUACCGAAUGUUGUAUUUUGGUCGCAUGAUUGAGAUACUAAAGAUGGCCUCUAUUUAUAAGCUAUCACUAAAAGAUGGGUCUGCGUCUGAUUAGCUAGUUGGUGAGGUAAUGGCUCACCAAGGCGACGAUCAGUAGCCGGUCUGAGAGGAUGAACGGCCACACUGGGACUGAGACACGGCCCAGACUCCUACGGGAGGCAGCAGUGGGGAAUCUUCCGCAAUGGACGAAAGUCUGACGGAGCAACGCCGCGUGAGUGAAGAAGGUUUUCGGAUCGUAAAACUCUGUUUUCAGGGACGAAUGUGCGAUGUGUAAAUAAUGCAUUGUAAUGACGGUACCUGAGUAGAAAGCCACGGCUAACUACGUGCCAGCAGCAGCCGCCG
rnacentral:rRNA from 1 species